ensembl:ncRNA F56G4.8 ncRNA
UGGCCUAGGUUUGGAUUUCUAGGCCACAAACUAAAAAUCGGCUAUAACUCGGCUGAAAAUCAACAUUUUCG